rnacentral:pre_miRNA from 1 species
GAUUUCAACUAAAAAAACUCAUCAACAACAAAGUUGUAUAACUCAUCAAUAUCUAUAACUUUUAUUUUGGUCAUUUCUUCAUCCGACAAAGUGAUAGUAACAUUGUUCACAAAAUAUACAUAUCUCUCUUAUAGUUUAUAAAACCAUAUAAGAGAUAUGUAUAUUUUGUGAACAAUGUUAAAAUCACUUUGUCGAAUGAACAAAUGACCAAAAUAAAAAUUGUAGAUCUAGAUGGAUUAUACAACUUUGUUGUUGAUGACUUUUUCAGUUUAAGUC